ACCCAUAUUAUCAACGUGAAAGUAUUUGAUUGUUGGUUGGUUGGUUUGUCCUUCAAUCACAUCGCAACGGAGUAACGGAUAGACGUGAUUUCUUGCAUAAGUAUAGGUAAAUAUCUGCUACUUUUUAUCCCGGAAAAUC